GGUGUUGCUGUGAAUUGUGAAAAAACUGACACAUAGGCUUCUUAUAUCCGGUAAAAAUCUAUUGACGAUUCUUUCGCUGAUUGUUUGGUGCUCGUUUUCUUGCUCUACGAUCCGAGAUCCUUGUUUUUUUCUUUCCCUGUUGCACGUUUUCAGUCUGGACUCUGGAGAUUGCGGUUGUUGCCGGUGAGCUGCUCGUUCAAAUGCCAAGGAAGACUGCGAGUUGCAAGGUGAUAAGCAUGGGUCUCUCUGCAUUUCUUGUUUUUUUUAAGAGCAGAUGACAUAUAAUCUCCUUUUAAUCAAAGUGGGGAGCUCAGAGCUCUGCAUUUUGUGUUGAAUCAUGCAUCUCUGUGAUUCUAGCGUUGCAUGCUCUCAAGUGUGUCAAGGAAUAAUACUUCCUCCAUUUCACAAUGUAAAACUUUCUAGUAUUGCUCACAUUUAUAUAAAUGAUAAUGAAUCUAGGCAUGUAUAUGUGUCUAGAUUCAUUAAUACCUAUAUGAAUAUGGACAAUAUGAAACAGAUGGAGUAGCAUUUAUGUACAAUUCGAACUAGGAAGGGGUACCCCCAAUAAAAAAAAAAGCUCAGAGGCUUAAGAAGACAAAAACUGAAGAAGA
rnacentral:lncRNA from 1 species